CCCGAGAUGGGGGAGGGCACGGCCGCAGGUCCCCCGUGUCCCUCUUCCCCCCCCCCACCCCGGGCCUCCGGGAGCACCCGACCCCCGCGCGCACCUCACUGGCCGGGGGCGCCCGCCUGCCGCCGCCCGGAGUCUCUCACGUCGGGGGGCCAAGCCCCGUUCUCCACCUAAAGGCAAAGUAGCUCCUCGGUGUCACGGACCGAGUCCCCCCGUCUGGCCCGCGGAGUCGCAGAGUCUCCCCCCACGCCCCGACCCCAGCACCGCACCGGAGGUCUGGCUGUCAGGGGGCGCCCGGUUUCCGGAGACAAACGCACCCCGCAGGAGUGGGCGUGCUGGGCUUCCCUUCCCGAGGGAAGGCUCUUCCUGGAGAGGCGGUGUUGAAAGACGGCGAGGAUUGCAGCUGCCAGCCCAGCUGUGGGCGGACACGGGGUGCCGGCGCUGAUUUCAGGAAACGCACAAAAACCAACCUCAUCCUGAUGAGGGGGACUUACUGGCCCAGACGGCCGAGAUAAAGCAGAAACUGGACCUCCCUGUAGAAGUGCAUAGGUCUCUGAUAACUGGGGUCCUGCUGCUGCUCUGCGGUGGAAACGAAAAUGAAGAAGAUUCCACGAAAAUGAAAAAGACGGUGCCUGCCUUCGAAGUGCUCAGCAGCCUGAAGGCUCAAUGGAGGUCUGCAAAGGAAGGAACACCUGACAGCCUUGGAAGGUGAUGGUCAGAGGUUUGAAAGGAGCCGAGAGUUUUGGAGGAUAAUUGGGAAUCUGACAAGAGCACGGAUAAUUGGGAAUAAGGAGUGCUUUCCAGGCGGAGAGAACACAGAGUUCCAGAGAUAUGAGAGCACCUGAAAUGUUCCUGAAAUAGUAGUUUUGAGAGACUAAAGACUGGAGAUUGAGAGCUAGAUCAAGCUGGAAGAGUAGGCACCGAUGAAAGAUCUGGUAGAUGCUGAAGAGUUUAGAAUUUUUCUUGCAGUCAUUUGGGAUUGGUUAUAAAAAAGGAGUGGUAGGAUGGUGUGUUUUAGGGAAACAUUUUUUUUUUCAAGGAUUUUUGAAGAAUGGAAUGAGACUGGUGACAAUUCCAAAAACUAAAUUCAACAAUUACCUAAACUAAUUCAAAAGAGGUGGAGAGAAAGAGGUCUCUGGAGAUACCUAAGAAAGCUGACUUACCUGCAUUUUGGUUUGGGGUGUGUUCAGUCUCAAGUGUGAGAGGAGCAUGCAGGUAGGGGUGUUCAGAAGUGGUUUAAUUGGUUGGGGCAGGAGACACAGAUUUGAAAAGUUAAUUCACAGACAUCGUUGAGUGCUUGCUCUGCACCAGACUCUGCCCCAGCAGGAAGGGUCCUGUUCUCACAGAGCUUAUACUCUGGGCUGGGCUGUAAGACGGUCAGCCAAAACUUGGCAUGUCCUGGUAGUUGAACCUGACACCCUUUCAUGGUUGCUCCUUCUUUUUUACUGAAGUUGCUCCCAGAACCCUUUGGUCCCGCCAUCUGCCAUAGAUUAAUUUUCACCGAUUGUUCAAAUAAACGUAUGUUUUACAGUGUUUCUGUUGAAAACUAAGGACAGUUUGUCAUAUUCCUUCAUGUAGCCAAAUUUCAAAGUGGAGUUGUAGCUUUCAAUUGGAUUUAUUGAGAACCAAUAUCAGAACCUGUACACUUUUCUAUAAAACUUUAAGAGUUGUUUGAUGAGCCAGUAGUUAACAAUUUUCUUCCUACAUGCAUACUACAUGCGUAAACAUUUAAAUUCCACUUAUUAAAAACUGAAAGUAUGCUAUA